AGUGAACGCUGGCGGUAGGCCUAACACAUGCAAGUCGAAAGAGUGGCGGACGGGUGAGGAAUACAUGGGAAUCUACUCUGUCGUGGGGGAAAAAGUGGGGAAACUUACGAUAAUACCGCAUCCGAUUGAAUGAGCCGAUGUGGGAUUCGCUAGUUGGCGGGGUAAAGGCCCACCAAGGAGAAGAUCCGUAGCUGGUCUGAGAGGAUGAUCAGCCACACUGGAACUGUGACCCGGUCCAGCCUCCUACGGGAGGCAGCAGUGGGGAAUAUUGGACAAUGGGCGCAAGCCUGAUCCAGCCAUACCGCGUGGUUGAAGAAGGCCUUCGGGUUGUAAAGCCCUUUUGUUGUGAAAGCGUUACCCAAAGAAUAAGCACCGGCUAACUUCGUGCCAGCAGCCGCGGUAAUUC
rnacentral:rRNA from 1 species